AGAGUUUGAUCCUGGCUCAGGAUGAACGCUAGCGACAGGCCUAACACAUGCAAGUCGAGGGGCAGCAUUUUUGAAGCUUGCUUCAAAAGAUGGCGACCGGCGCACGGGUGAGUAACGCGUAUGGAACCAACCCGCAACAGGGGGAUAACCCGGAGAAAUCCGGACUAAUACCGCAUGGUACUCUUUGCACAGAAGUGUGAAGAUUUAAAGAUGCGAAUCGGUUGCGGACGGUCAUGCGUUCCAUUAGCUAGUUGGCGGGGUAACGGCCCACCAAGGCGACGAUGGAUAGGGGUUCUGAGAGGAAGGUCCCCCACACUGGUACUGAGACACGGACCAGACUCCUACGGGAGGCAGCAGUGAGGAAUAUUGGUCAAUGGGCGAGAGCCUGAACCAGCCAAGUCGCGUGAGGGAAGACGGCCCUAUGGGUUGUAAACCUCUUUUAGAUGGGAGUAAAGUGUUCUACGCGUAGGAUAUUGCAAGUACCAUCAGAAUAAGCAUCGGCUAAUUCCGUGCCAGCAGCCGCGGUAAUACGGAAGAUGCGAGCGUUAUCCGGAUUUAUUGGGUUUAAAGGGUGCGUAGGCGGGUGAUUAAGUCAGCGGUGAAAUGCGUCAGCUUAACUGGCGAACUGCCAUUGAAACUGGUUACCUUGAGUGUAGCGGAAGUAUGCGGAAUGCGUGGUGUAGCGGUGAAAUGCAUAGAUAUCACGCAGAACUCCGAUUGCGAAGGCAGCAUACCAUACUAUAACUGACGCUGAAGCACGAAAGCGUGGGUAUCGAACAGGAUUAGAUACCCUGGUAGUCCACGCAGUAAACGAUGAAUACUCACCGUUUGCGAUAUAAUGUAAGCGGUAAAGCGAAAGCGUUAAGUAUUCCACCUGGGGAGUACGCCGGCAACGGUGAAACUCAAAGGAAUUGAC
rnacentral:rRNA from 1 species